UCUUAUGGAUGAGCAUGGAAAGUGGUUUCUUGAGAUGGAAUCUACUCCUGGUGAAGAUGCCGGGAA
rnacentral:pre_miRNA from 1 species